UACGUAGGGUGCGAGCGUUGUCCGGAUUUAUUGGGCGUAAAGAGCGUGUAGGCGGCCGUACAGGUCAGCUGUGAAAACUCGAGGCUCAACCUCGAGACGUCGGUUGAAACCGUACGGCUAGAGUCCGGAAGAGGAGAGUGGAAUUCCCGGUGUAGCGGUGAAAUGCGCAGAUAUCGGGAAGAACACCCGUGGCGAAGGCGGCUCUCUAGUACGGUACUGACGCUGAGACGCGAAAGCGUGGGGAGCGAACAGG
rnacentral:rRNA from 1 species